UACGUAGGGUCCGAGCGUUGUCCGGAAUUAUUGGGCGUAAAGGGCACGUAGGCGGUUUGUCGCGUCGGGAGUGAAAACACCGGGCUUAACUCGGUGCUUGCUUUCGAUACGGGCAGACUGGAGGUAUGCAGGGGAGAACGGAAUUCCUGGUGUAGCGGUGAAAUGCGCAGAUAUCAGGAGGAACACCGGUGGCGAAGGCGGUUCUCUGGGCAUUACCUGACGCUGAGGAGCGAAAGUGUGGGGAGCGAACAGG
rnacentral:rRNA from 1 species